rnacentral:rRNA from 1 species
GGCCUGCCCACUGAGGAUUUAAAUGGCCGCGGUAUUUUGACCGUGCAAAGGUAGCAUAAUAAUUAGUUUUUUAAUUGAAAGCUGGAAUGAAAGGUUGGAUGAGAAAAUAACUGUCUCUAUUUAGAUUAAUUAGAAUUUUAUUUUUAAGUAAAAAAGCUUAAAUAAGAAUAGAAGACGAGAAGACCCUAUAGAGUUUUAAUUUAGUUGGGGUGAUUGAAAAAUUUAGUAAACUUUUUUUGUAAAUAACCAUUGAUAUAUGAAUAUUUGAUCCUUUUUUAAAGAUUAAAAGAAAAAAUUACCUUAGGGAUAACAGCGUAAUUUUUUUAGAGAGUUCAAAUCGAAAAAAAAGAUUGCGACCUCGAUGUUGGAUUAAAAUUAAGUCUUGGUGUAGAAGCUAA